rnacentral:rRNA from 1 species
AUGUGUUCCUUUCUUCUCCCUCCUGGUGUGGUUGAGCAAAUCGAUCGUAGGCGUCGUGUUUUUGUUUGGACUGGCAAGGAUACUUGCUCGGGUGCUCGCUGUCUAAUUGCUUGGGAUAAGGUGUGUGUUGAUGUGCAGGAAGGUGGCUUCGGGAUCCGCGAUCUUCGACGACAAAACAUGUGCUUGCUUCUCAACUUCGUCCACAAGCUUCACCUCCCAGAGUCUCCGCCUUGGAAGAAGUGGUUCCUGUGCUGCUCCCGCAGCGACAUCGGUGAUUCCACAUUGUCCCCGUCUUUUCUCCAGAGCAUCGUCGACAUGGGUCUGCCGACGUACAGGUCGGUCACCCGCGUGGAGCUCGGGGAUGGCUGCACUAUUUCUUUCUGGCAGGACAGGUGGCUCCUCGGAUGUGCGCUGUGCUUCCAGUUCAAGGCUCUCUUCUCCCACUCGACGCGGCCUAACGCCACCGUCGCGGGUGUCCUUUGGGACGGCAUCUCGCUCCAGCCACGGCUGCCCGCUAUGGCCGCCGCGGAGCUGGAGGCGGUCCGGGUGGUGCUCCACUCCGUCCAUCUCUACCCUAGGGCGGAUCGCCGGAUCAUGGCCUGGGGCCCGGAGACGCGGUUCUCCUCACGUGCAGUGUACCGGGUGCUCUCUCUGCACGACUGUACCGACCUCACCUCCUCCGAGAUUUGGGCCUCCCGCCUCCCCUCGAAGAUCAAGGUGUUCGCGCGUCUUCUCACCGGCGGACGCCUUAGCACGCGGGUGAACCUCCACGCCAAAAGUUGCUCCCCCACCCCGUCAUGCGAGUCUUGUGGUGCUGAUGAGACCAUUGACCACCUCUUCAUCACCUGUACGCGCGCAGCCGAGGUCUGGGGGUGGCUCAGCAUGGGCUCCCUCCUCUGCUCCCCCUGA